rnacentral:rRNA from 1 species
UAACGACUCUCGGCAACGGAUAUCUCGGCUCUCGCAUCGAUGAAGAACGUAGCGAACUGCGAUACUUGGUGUGAAUUGCAGAAUCCCGUGAACCAUCGAGUCUUUGAACGCAAGUUGCGCCCGAAAGCUUYGGCCGAGGGCACGUUUGCCUGGGUGUCA